rnacentral:rRNA from 1 species
GCAUCGACCAGAGGGAAAAGGAGCAAUCCGCUUUGAGAUGGCCUCGCGUCCGAUUAGCUAGUUGGUGAGGUAACGGCCCACCAAGGCGACGAUCGGUAGCCGGACUGAGAGGUUGAACGGCCACAUUGGGACUGAGACACGGCCCAGACUCCUACGGGAGGCAGCAGUGGGGAAUAUUGCACAAUGGGGGAAACCCUGAUGCAGCGACGCCGCGUGGAGGAAGAAGGUCUUCGGAUUGUAAACUCCUGUUGUUGAGGAAGAUAAUGACGGUACUCAACAAGGAAGUGACGGCUAACUACGUGCCAGCAGCCGCGGUAAGACGUAGGUCACAAGCGUUGUCCGGAAUUACUGGGUGUAAAGGGAGCGCAGGCGGGAAGACAAGUUGGAAGUGAAAUCUAUGGGCUCAACCCAUAAACUGCUUUCAAAACUGUUUUUCUUGAGUAGUGCAGAGGUAGGCGGAAUUCCCGGUGUAGCGGUGGAAUGCGUAGAUAUCGGGAGGAACACCAGUGGCGAAGGCGGCCUACUGGGCACCAACUGACGCUGAGGCUCGAAAGUGUGGGUAGCAAACAGGAUUAGAUACCCUGGUAGUCCACACCGUAAACGAUGAUUACUAGGUGUUGGAGGAUUGACCCCUUCAGUGCCG